rnacentral:rRNA from 1 species
UAACGCGUGAGAAACCUGCCUAGAAGUGGGGGAUAACACUCCCAACGGGGUGCUAAUACCGCAUGUGAUGUGAGUGUCGCAUGGCACACACAAGAAAGAUGGCCUCUGCUUGCAAGCUAUCGCUUCUGGAUGGUCUCGCGUCCGAUUAGCUUGUUGGUGGGGUAAAAGCUCACCAAGGCGACGAUCGGUAGCUGGUCUGAGAGGAUGGUCAGCCACACUGGGACUGAGAUACGGCCCAGACUCCUACGGGAGGCAGCAGUCGAGAGGCUUUGUCAAUGGGGGAAACCCUGAACAAGCGACGCCGCGUGGGGGAUGAAGGCCUUUGGGUUGUAAACCCCUUUCAGUAGGGACGAAAGUUAUGCGGGUGAAUAAUCCGUGUAGUUGACGGUACCUACAGAAGAAGCUCCGGCUAACUCCGUGCCAGCAGCCGCGGUAACACGGGGGGAGCGAGCGUUGUUCGGAAUCACUGGGCGUAAAGGGCGUGUAGGCGGUUCGGUAAGUGAGAUGUGAAAGCCCCCGGCUCACCCGGGGAUGUGCAUUUCAUACUGCCGAACUUGAGUACGGAAGAGGAUGGGGGAAUUCCUGGUGUAGCGAUGAAAUGCGUAGAUAUCAGGAGGAACACCGGUGGCGAAGGCGCCCAUCUGGUCCGUUACUGACGCUGAGGCGCGAAAGCUAGGGGAGCGAACGGGAUUAGAUACCCCGGUAGUCCUAGCCGUAAACGGUGGGCACU